rnacentral:miRNA from 1 species
CACGAAACGUUUGUUCGCCACCACAGCAACCUAACUAAAUAUAUUGUAUUUGUUGUAUUUUUAUGAUUGAUGACAAAACUACGCAAAUAUUUGUUGUUUUUGUCAUGAAUCAUAAAAAUACGAUAAAUACAAUAUAUUUAGUUAGGUUGCGGUGGUGGCGAACAAACGUUUCGUG